UGCUGCUUUUGCAAAGGUGGGGAUUGUUCGGCCGCUUGCAGCAGCUUUAGUUAAAGCUGCUGAUCCUCCAACUACUCCUAAACCAAACGUUGAACCAGCUAUACCAAGCCAAUGAGCUACAGCUGGUCCAAGAGGUGUGAACAAUGCUGCAACACCUAAGCUUGCUGCGCCAACUCCGGCAAUAUUAGAAGCAAUAUCUAUUCCACUGCAGAUUUUUUUUGUCCAUCGGCAUGCGGGAGAUUCUCUGACUUCCAGCCAAACUGUUGAAUAGUCUUCUGUUACUGGGCAGGAUUUGUCUGCUUGAUAAACGCCAUCCUUGGGUAGAACCAUAGUGCAUUCUGAGAAAACUUAGCACAGUUAUUCCUUGAAUACUGCUGAUGAAUAACGAAAGAGAAUCGAACACAACUAGAAAUCAGUCGUACUCGGUGAACGCCCAACGAACGUCUGCGAAUAAAUGAAAUCAGCAAAAGGAUUAAAUCACCAAAAAACCAGCGAUAAGGGCUCUUGCACACAGCGCGACAAAAAAUGGCGCCAGUCAAUCAGCUUCUCGUUCUUUGGAACAAGGCUUCUUUGUUCUUUGCUCUGAUUGGUCAAUCAAAAAUAAAAAUUUAUAUAUUGACGGAAGAGAUAUA